CACAGCCGCAAUGCUCCCCUCUCCCUAUCUCAUCCCUUCCUCUCGUCUCACUCUCAUCAAGGCGUCGCUCCUCAACUCUCCAAACUCUCAACCUUUUUCCGUUCAACCUUAACAACCGAGUGCCUAGAAGCCCCAAACCGAUGCUUAACACGACCAAAGGCCCUGAGCUACGACCCCUAAGUUCUACGGCCGACGAGACUCCUCAACCAAAGGUUGCAAGUGAGUGAUGGGAACGAGCUGCUGCAGUGGAGCCUGCUGUCUUCACGUGGGGUACUCGGGCAUGCACGAACAUGUGGGAGGCAUGGACAGCUUGGUUAUCUUGCUGCUUCAUGUGAAUGCUCGAUUGUGCGGCACACGUGGGAGACAUGGCUACUGUAACUGAGUGCAUGGGUCCUGUCGAGCGUGGAGCAUGCUGUUGGGUGCUGCUUCACGUGGGGUGUACGAGUGUUGGAGCUUCACAUGGGAGUUAGCUGUCAAAAUCGGGUCUGGGUCAUAUAUGGCUUCAUUUGGAUCGGGUUCAAUGCUUUGGGCAUGGUCUUGAGUUUGUAAUUGAUUUGGGUUUAGUUUGGGUUUGUAAGAUGAAAAUGGACUCUAGAUAUUUAAUUUGGAUUUUGGAUUGAA